GUGCCAGCAGCCGCGGUAAGACGAAGGAUGCAAGCGUUAUCCGGAUUCAUUGGGUUUAAAGGGUGCGUAGGCGGCCCAGUAAGUCAGUGGUGAAAGCCCUCCGCUUAACGGAGAAACUGCCAUUGAUACUGCCGGGCUUGAGUACAGAUGAUGUUGGCGGAAUAUGACAUGUAGCGGUGAAAUGCAUAGAUAUGUCAUAGAACACCGAUUGCGAAGGCAGCUGACAAAACUGUAACUGACGCUGAGGCACGAAAGUGCGGGGAUCAAACAGGAUUAGAAACCCUGGUAGUCC
rnacentral:rRNA from 1 species